GCCUUAUCCCGAUCCCUUUCCUCCUCUCAGAACGGAGGUGAAGAAGCACGGGAGCACACCGGAGCGUCGAUGUGGAGGCGGCGGAUCAGAGGAGCCGGCGAAGAGGUCGGCCAGGACGGGAAUAGCAGCGCCACCGUCUCUUCCUCCCAAAUUUUCAGUGCGGAGCUGGAGUAAUGCCGUCGGCGUCGUGGUCGAGCCGUCAAGGGUGCGGGAUGUGGGAUGUCCACCCAUCCGCAACUACUGGAAGAACACGCUGGCAGCGAGCGUCCCCAAGAGCAAGGGAGGAGAUGAUGUUGCAGCUCAAGGGGGCCUCACUACCUGAAGGUGAGCAUGGAUGGCGCCCAUUUUCCCCCAUCAAAUUUGUACAAAUUCGUUGCAGAGCAAUGGACAUUUGUGUUUGAAUCAGUGGGUGAACUUUUUGCAAUCAAUAGAUAGGCAGUUAUGUGAAUUAUGGGGAGAAAGCAGUCCCUUGGAUUUCUAGAA